rnacentral:rRNA from 1 species
UAACAGGAUUCCCCUAGUAACUGCGAGUGAAGCGGGAAGAGCUCAAAUUUAAAAUCUGGCGGUCUUUUGGCUGUCCGAGUUGUAAUCUGGAGAAGCGUUUUCUGUGUUAGACCGUGUACAAGUCUCCUGGAACGGAGCGUCAUAGAGGGUGAGAAUCCCGUCCAUGACACGGACAACUAAUACUUUGUGAUACGCUCUCGAAGAGUCGAGUUGUUUGGGAAUGCAGCUCAAAAUGGGUGGUAAAUUCCAUCUAAAGCUAAAUACAGGCGAGAGACCGAUAGCGAACAAGUACCGUGAGGGAAAGAUGAAAAGCACUUUGGAAAGAGAGUUAAACAGUACGUGAAAUUGUUGAAAGGGAAACGCUUGAAGUCAGUCGCGUUGUGCAGAACUCAGCCUUGCCUCGGCUUGGUGUACUUUCUGCACAACGGGUCAACAUCAAUUUUGGCCCAUGGAGAAAGGUGGGGGGAAUGUAGCGCUGUUUCGGCAGCGUGUUAUAGCCCCCUGCUGUAUACAUGGGCUGGGAUUGAGGAACGCAGCACGCCCUUGUGGCCGGGGGUUCACCCCACGUACCGUGCUUAGGAUGUUGGCAGAAUGGCUUUAAGCGACCCGUCUUGAAACACGGACCAAGGAGUCUAACAUGCUUGCGAGUGUUCGGGUGGAAAACCCUUGUGCGUAAUGAAAGUGAAAGUUGGGAACCUCCGCAAGGGGGUGCACCGACGCCCGGCCCUGACGUUCUCUGACGGUGCUGCGGUAGAGCAAGUAUGCUGGGACCCGAAAGAUGGUGAACUAUGCCUGACUUGCGCGAAGCCA